UCUACGGGAGGCAGCAGUGGGGGAUAUUGCACAAUGGGGGGACCCCUUAUGCAGCGACGCCGCGUGGGUGAAGAAGCGCCUCGGCGCGUAAAGCCCUGUCAGCAGGGAAGAAAAUGACGGUACCUGAAGACGAAGCCCCGGCUAACUACGUGCCAGCAGCCGCGGUAAAACGUAGGGGGCAAGCGUUAUCGGGAUUUACGGGGUGUAAAGGGUGCGCAGCCGGGGGUGAAAGCAAGGAGUGAAAGCCCGGGGCCCAACACCUGGACUGCGCGUGGGACGGGGUGGCUGGAGUGAAUGAGGGGUAGGCGGAAUGCCUGGGGUAGAGGUGAAAGGCGUAGAUAUCAGGAGGAACACCGGUGGCGAAGGCGGCAUGCUGGACUGCAACUGACGUUGAGGCCCGAAAGCGUGGGGAGCAAACAGGAUUAGAUACCCCAGUAGUC
rnacentral:rRNA from 1 species